rnacentral:lncRNA from 1 species
CCUGCCUGAAGAAAAUAUCGCCUGCCCAGCCAGUGUAUUGCAAAUUUUUUAGUACUCAAAAACACCAAAACAUCUCUCAAACUUAAAAUGCUUAAACUCAUAUCCUUCUCACAAUCUUUCAAAAACAUGUCACAUUGAAUUCUAAGCAUCCCACAUUGAAUCAAAAGCAUCCCAAACACAUCCAUCAAGUAAUCACAUACACUCAUUUUACACAAAAUCUGAUAAAACACAUAACUUCGUAAUCAAAACACACUAGUUCAUCAAUUUCCAUC